rnacentral:lncRNA from 10 species
GGGGACUUGCAAGCAGAGCAGGGGGUAUGGGGAGAGCAUAAAUGGAGAUGAGACUCUGUUCACACUCUUUCCUGAUAUCCCUGUGUUUUCAAAGAGAAAACUGUGUCAAAACCAGGGAAGGGGAGGGGGGAGGUGAAAAAGGACAUUUUCCAAGAACUCCAGGCCUACAGUCCUUAGUGCAACAGUACCUGUUGUUUACAAAGAUUCAUCUGCCUCUGUCCUGCAUUUCCCUCCGUGGACACCAGGGCACUGUCUGAUCAUCUGGUCUUCUCAGUCCCCGGCAAAGUUCACGGACCCUGACACACCCUGCAGCUGUCUCCUGAAGGAGUCAGAGUGGACCACUGAAUCCCAGCUGCUCUU